GAUCCACCAUAGCCGGGUGGUGGUGGCGGCGGCGGCGCACAUCUUUAAUCCCAGCACUCGGGACUCAGGCAGACCAAUGUGCUUCUUAAACACCCCAAAAAUAAGGAAAAACAACCACAAGAUUCAGCAUUCUGUCUGAUUCUUAUCUUUUAUACACCUUCUCAUUUAAGACUGGCCUUAACAGAGCCAACUUCUUGAAGCUCCUUUGGCAAACAGUAAUUAAUCUGGUAACAGUUAUUGUACAUAUGUCUGGGAUCUUCUAAAAGUGUUACAUGCUUGAAACAUUUGUAUCUAUGAAAGUCAUUCUUUGUCUAACAUAGACCUUUGAUUCAUUUCUACAGUAGAUCACAGCUUAUAACAUAAUACUCAAAGAAGAAGAAACCUUGAAGCAUCCUUCUUAUGAACCACAUAUAUUUAUAAGGAUGCCAAAGAAGCUAUAGCAGUGGGAGGAAAUGUACACCCAGAAAACAGGAAGCCAACACGGUGAAAUGUGGUUGCUGCAUUAACCACACCAGCCACUGGGUGUCUCCAUUGCAUCACCCCACUCUAUCUCUGACAGAAGUUUCCAGUCAAAGAGAUGGAGAGCAAAGCUUUAUUCACAGUUUUCUUUCUUUAUAUUUAAAAAUAUUUUUCACACGUAUGAGUGUUUUGAUCACAUAUAUUUGCAUCGUGUGCAUGCCUUGUGUCCGGGGAGGUCAGAAGAAAACAUCAGCUCCUCUGGAGCUCAAAUUAGGGACCUUGGUGAGCCUCCAUAAGGGUGCUGAGACUCAAACCCAGAACUCUGCAAGAACAAGUGCUCUGAACUGGUGAACUAUCUCCAGUAGCUUCACAGAAUUCUUAGUUAUGAAGACCCAGCAUUUUCCUGUCAGAUAGCCUAUUGAGAAACAGUUCUUCCUAUGUGUGUCAUAUUUUCUUUCAUUUUUUGAUAACUGGACACUUCAUUUGCCAAGGAGAGAAGACCUUUAUUGCAUCCAUUUGUAAAUUUGUAAAUGUAUUUUAAUAGCCCAAUAAUCAAAUAAAAACAUGAGACCACAUGCA